rnacentral:tRNA from 2 species
GGGGCUAUAGCUCAGUUGGUUAGAGCGCACCCCUGAUAAGGGUGAGGUCCCAAGUUCAACUCUUGGUAGCCCCA